CGAGGACGAACGCUGGCGGCGUGCCUAACACAUGCAAGUCGAGCGGGGACAUACGACGGAUACGAAGUUUCGGAUGGAGUAGAAGAUGUAUUGUCUAGCGGCGGACGGGUGACGUAACGCGUGAGCAACCUGUCCCUUACAGGGGGAUAACACAGCGAAAGUUGUACUAAUACCGCAUAAGACCACGGGGUGACAUCAGUCCAGGGGGUCAAAGGGAGCAAUCCGGUGAGGGGUGGGCUCGCGUCCGAUUAGAUAGUUGGUGAGGUAACGGCCCACCAAGUCGACGAUCGGUAGCCGACCUGAGAGGGUGAUCGGCCACAUUGGGACUGAGACACGGCCCAGACUCCUACGGGAGGCAGCAGUGGGGGAUAUUGCGCAAUGGGGGGCCAACCCUGACGCAGCAACGCCGCGUGAAGGAUGAAGGUUUUCGGAUUGUAAACUUCUUUUAUUAAGGGCGAAAAAUGACGGUACUUAAUGAAUAAGCUCCGGCUAACUACGUGCCAGCCGCGGC
rnacentral:rRNA from 1 species